GACGUAGGGCGCGAGCGUUGUCCGGAUUUAUUGGGCGUAAAGAGCUCGUAGGCGGCUUGUCGCGUCGACUGUGAAAUCCCGCGGCUCAACUGCGGGUCUGCAGUCGAUACGGGCAGGCUAGAGUUCGGUAGGGGAGACUGGAAUUCCUGGUGUAGCGGUGAAAUGCGCAGAUAUCAGGAGGAACACCGGUGGCGAAGGCGGGUCUCUGGGGCCGAUACUGACGCUGGAGGCACGAAAAGCGUGGGGAGCGAACAGG
rnacentral:rRNA from 1 species